GUGGGGAUAGCAUUGAGUGAAGAUGUGAUGCAGAGUGUUUAAGUAAGGUAUUGUUGUAUCAAGGGCAUUUUGAUUUGAGAGAUGGAGUGGUUUCUGCUGAGGCCUGGGUUAAGACGAUGGAAUGGGAAGGGUUAGGGAAGUACUUGAUGGCUGAGAGAAAGGCAUGGAAAGUGAAAGGAGUGCUUGCUGGGUAUGUGCAGAAGUGGGGGAGUUUUAGCAAUACUGCGGUGUUGGAGGCUGGGCAUCUUGUCCCUACUGAUCAGGCAGUGUAUUCUCCGGCAAUGACGGAGGAUUGGGUCCUAGACAAGGGGGUCUUUGCUAUUGAGCAAGGAGAGGAUUCGGCGUCAGAUUUCAGGGCUGCCGUCGGAAAUCAGUAGCUACUGCAUUGACUCUGCAUUUGAACAAAUUCCACUGUUUUUUUCCCUCAUCAAUCAUGCACCAUCUAAACGAUAUUUCAGUUUGCUAUGUAUAGCUCAGCAUAACAAUGCGUAUCACCAUACUGGGACUAAAUCAGCCAGAUUUUGAAUCCAUUAGAAUAAAACGUCAUUCAAAACUGGACCAAAAUCUUACCCAGUCGCCUAUGCAAUUCCUUCUCUCUCGUCUCUGCCAUGCUAUCUAAACAAGCUGGAAAAGUGAUAUGAACUGUCACGAAACGAGGUAGGCAUAUAUUUCAUCUUUUACCAUCUGAAAUUUUAUAGUUUGUGGGAAAUUCGCCAUUUUAAUAUCUGAUGGCUGCAAAAGAAAUCUUGUCUGGUGCAUCAUGUAUUUAAUUUAGAAAACCACUCACAGUUUUAUAGUUUUACUUCUAGAUUUACAGAAAUCUGAACUAUAGAACAAUUUUUUAUUCUUCUACAUCAUUCGCAGUAACUAUUAAUCAUUCAGUGACUUCAUUUGUAAUUAGCUUAAUCGUUUCAUUUUCAGUGGCUUUUUUGUGCAGCAAUUCGCUUUUGCUGGCAAGCAUUUCUCAGCCAGGGGAGAUCCCCGUCUCCGACAAUACUUAACAAAACCAAAAGCUACUCUCGAAGUUUCUUUGUUUAGCUAAAGUAUGUAGAUCCCCGAGGAGUUUGAUUUUUUCCCAAUAUUUUCAAGUCCUUUAUUUGUAAAGGAUUGGAAAAGUUUAGCUAAAUUCCAGAGAAAAAGUUAUUAUUUUUUAUGUUCCGAAUACCAAAUUGGUUAAUUUUAGUGUUAACAAGUUUUAUUUUAAGAAAAAACUCAAUGGUAGUUUUUCAAAGAAAAACUUAACCUGGAUUAUAGGUAUUUUGAGGAUUUUUGGGAGAUGGUUUUUUAGUUAAACGAAAACAAUAAUGAAGAAACACAGAAGAAAAUAAGUGAAAUUGAAAUGUUUGUCUCAUGGCCAGUCCCAAAAUGUAAAGGCAGCGACGCUGCUACACAAGGCAAUGGAAUAUGAGACCCCCCUUCAACGGAGGAGCACCCCAUGGAGGACCUCAACGUAUCCGGGCAUUUAUAUAUGACGUUUACUUUGGACUAUACAAACAUGAAACUUGUUUGCUCCAGUCAAGUUAAGGAUUCCUUGGACGAAUCCCCCGUCACUUUACAAAGUUCAGAUCAUAGGAAUUUCUCAAGCUUUAAACCUCAAAUAAAAAAAACCUCAGAUUAGCAUUUUGGCACAUUACUCUUUGCUAACAACAACCCAUGUAUCUCUACAUGGUGCGCAAAUUAUAGUUGUUGCAAGCUCAUGCCCAAAUCUUGUCUUCCUUGGUAGCUUAAAGGAUUAAUAAAAUAAGAAAUAAAGAGAAUUGAAAAGUAUUAUGAAAUGGAUUAUGUAAUGGCGUUUGGAGGCGGGCUUGUGAGAAGGGAAAGAUUGAUUAUGCAGAAAGAGAGAUUUGGUCAAAGAAAACUUUGAACUCAAAAAUAACUUUCAUGAAUAACCGAUCAAAGCACAAAACCCGUACUAUGAUGCCAUUGGAUUUUGAUUUCAAGGGCUGUUAAAGGACAGGGCAUCCAGUAGAGAACCUACCGGUAUUUGAGAGCCAUUGAUUGAUCUUAUCUUGUUCUCCCCUAUUUGCCUCAGCCCUCGUGCAAAAAAUUAUCAAAUACAGAAGAAAUUGUUGCAGUGAAAACAGAUCGAUCUCUCAAACCCUAGACGCCGCUAACACAAUACAUGCUUUUGCCUUUACAGGGUAGCCUCCAAACCCUAGA
rnacentral:lncRNA from 1 species